rnacentral:tRNA from 1 species
UCCCUGAUGGCUCUGAUGAUAAAGCAUCUGCCUGCAAUGCGGGAGACCCAGGUUCAGUUCCUGGGUCGGGAA